CCAAUCGAACCCGGAUAUAGCUGGUUCUCCCCGAAAUAGCUUUAGGGCUAGCCUCGAAUAUAUUUACCGGAGGUAAAGCACUGAAUGGUCGAGGGGUCGAGAGACUACCAACACCUAUCAAACUAAGAAUACCGGAUAAAUGAGUUCGGGAGUCAGACUACGUGAGAUAAGUCUCGUGGUCAAAAGGGAAACAGCCCAGACCCACAGCUAAGGUCCCCAAUGUAUGCUAAGUGGAAAACGAUGUGACAAUGCUAAGACAACUAGGAUGUUGGCUUAGAAGCAGCCACUCAUUCAAAGAGUGCGUAAUAGCUCACUAGUCGAGUGAUGUUGCGCGGAAAAUUCAACGGGGCUAAGCAUACAACCGAAGCUUGGGCAGUAGAAAUACUGGGUAGGGGAGCGUUCUGUACGGGCAGAAGCAUCAGCGGAAGCAGGUGUGGACUGUACAGAAGUGAGAAUGCCGGAAUGAGUAGCGAGAAUUGUGUGAGAAUCAUAAUGGCCGAAAAUCUAAGGUUUCCGGGGGUAGGGUCGUCCACCCCGGGUUAGCCGGGAGCUAAGGCGAGGCCGCGAGGCGUAGUCGAUGCACAAACGGUAGAGAUUCCGUUGCCGCCAGAUCUUAAGUAACUGACACGAGGGUAGAGUUCAACCCGGCCGAUGGUAGAGCCGGGCGAAAGGGACUGAAGAAUAGUAGGGAAGUGAACGAAGCCAGCGGCGAGAAAAGGUUAUGUAUGAAAUCAGGCGCCCGUACCGCAAACCGACACAGGUAGAUGAGGAGAGGAUCCUAAGGCCAGCGGGAGAAGGGUUGUUAAGGAACUCGGCAUAUUGACCCCGUAACUUCGGAAGAAGGGGUGCCUCCGUAAGGAGGCCGCAGUGAAAAGGCCCAGGCAACUGUUUAUCAAAAACACAGGUUUCUGCAAAAGCGAAAGCUGAAGUAUAGGAGCUGACGCCUGCCCGGUGCUGGAAGGUCAAGGGGAUCGCUUAGCGCAAGCGAAGGCGAGAACUUAAGCCCCAGUAAACGGCGGCCGUAACUAUAACGGUCCUAAGGUAGCGAAAUUCCUUGCCAGGUAAGUUCUGGCCUGCACGAAUGGCGUAAUGAUCUGGGCACUGUCUCAACAGCCCGCCCGGCGAAAUUGUAGUACCGGUGAAGAUGCCGGUUUCCUGCGACUAGACGGAGAGACCCCAUGGAGCUUUACUGUAGUCUGAUACUGAAAUUUGGUUCAUUAUGCACAGGAUAGGUGGGAGACAGAGAAACCCGGGCUUUGGCUUGGGCGGAGUCGCCGUUGGGAUACCACUCUUGAUGAACCAAGUUUCUAACCUGCUCCCGUGAUCCGGGAGGGGGACAAUGUCAGAUGGGCAGUUUGACUGGGGCGGUCGCCUCCAAAAGAGUAACGGAGGCGUUCAAAGGUUGGCUCAGCGCGGACGGAAAUCGCGCAAUGAGUAUAAACGUAUAAGCCAGCCUAACUGUGAGACCUACAAGUCGAGCAGUAACGAAAGUUGGAGUUAGUGAUCAGGUGGUAGUGAGUGGAAAUGCCAUCGCUUAACGGAUAAAAGCUACCCUGGGGAUAACAGGCUGAUCUCCCCCAAGAGUUCACAUCGACGGGGAGGUUUGGCACCUCGAUGUCGGCUC
rnacentral:rRNA from 1 species